CAGGCAAAUUCUUAUUAUAACUUUCAUAAGAUGCAUCUUAUGAACCGCUUUUUAGAGUGUAAAAUAAUGUUUCAUAAGAGUCUUAUAAAAUUCUUUCAAUUUUCAUACGAUGCUCUUAUGAAAAAUAGAAGAAACGGCAUUGUGAAAAAAUAAUGAACACAUUCAUUCAUUGCAUCAGUUUUUUUCAUCAUCUAACUGUACGAAGCAAUCGCCAGUUCAUGUUAUUAUAAUUUCCCUUCAAUGUUAAAUGUUAUUGCUAUCUCCGGAAUGGUAAGUUCAAUUUGAUGUUUUUUGUGUAAACGUCUAAUAUAUUAGUAAACUAAAAUACAUUAUUUGUUUACUUUUCAGCAAGCUGAUCGGCAAAAAACGAAAGGUCAAAGAUUUAGAUGCGGCAAAAAAAAACUUUGAUGGAGCCGUCUCUUGAUGCGCUGCUGAUGGUGACCAUUAAGGAUUUAAUUUUAAACAAAUUUGGCAAACAAUAAAGUGAUUGUUUUAGCAUGAAAUAUCUAGAAUUUUUCUUAUUAGAAAGUGAUUUACUAUUUCCAUAAGAAUCUCUUAUGAAAAGCAACAACCUUUCAUUGAAGUAGGCGUUCAUCUUCAGAAUUCAUUCGCGUCAUAAGACAAUCUUAUGAAUUUCAUUAAUUUUUCUUAUGGCGCCACUUCAUAAGAGAAUCUUAUGGCAUACAUAAUAGUAUUUUUCUGAGUGUAGAAUCGAAACAAAAUCUUCCGGCUGAGUUCCGGGCUGGUAAGCAAAGCUGGAAGAAGUUGGACCUAUAAACGACGGUGCCAGCUUUGUCGGUAGCGAGCUAUCUAGAAGCAGCAGAAAGUCAUCGAAUCGGAUGGUAACAUGGCGAGGCGUUACAUUCCAUCGUCCGAGAAGCGCCCUCCUGCAGGAACAUCCGAUCUUCAUCGAGAUGAAAAGCUGCUUCAGGAGGACCCCCGUCUGUUGCCAUCGCUGCUCCAGAAGAUCCAAUCGAGUAAUCCGGAUCUGAUGGGUAGCAUUUGGGAAAAUCAGAUGAAGUUUUUGGCACUUUUGAAAGAUGGGACCGAUGAGCUGAAAUAGGAAAAUAGGCGCAACGUUAGGCGCCUGAGCAGCAUGACGAUAAGUCCGAUGAGUGGGUUGGGGAAUCAGUUCGAUCCACUGCAGACUGUUGAUUGUCCGGAAUGGAUUGAGCCCCUGAAGGAUUCUGCAGGUGAUGCUGUCCAAUUGCUAGUCAUCCUCAAGUGCAGCAAAUCUCCAGCUCAGCGCUGCUCGUGGGUGGUGGUGAAGGUACAUUAACUGAAUAUGUUAAUAUUGAAAAAGGCUUAAGCAUUAUUUACAUGAUGCAACAGUUAUUUGAAAAUAAAAUUUCGAACCAUAAAAUCGUUUAUCAUUUAAUCAUGAAAAUUAUCAAUAGCAGAAUUUAUAGCAUUCCUUUAGCAGAACCGAUUUACUUUUAUUUUCAUCCAACACUUUUCGAUUGGAGGGAAACAAAAUAGCUCUUUGGAUAAGGUAACAAGAAUAAGGAACAAGCAACAUCCGGUUUAGGGUUUUGGUUGUUUGUUCCACCCUUAAUAAGAUCCUUUCUAUCAUAAAGGUCAAUGAAAAAAUUUUCUUUUUCGGAACAUACGGAUAGACCGAACUGUAUUGAAAUUUUAUUAUAAAAAAGUGUUUAGAAUACAAAUUAAUUCAUUGAAUAUACUCAUAUCAUUGCUUUUUUCCGAAAACUCAAUUUAAAUAUAAUAAAAUAAACUAAACCCCAGUACGGUUUUAAAUCUUUUGAUCUUUCGUUUACGAUUGGCUUGUGCACAUACACACUUUUUUGCCAUCUGAUUUUUUAUCUCUAACACCUGGCAUCCCUGGACCCCUUUUUUCGUAAACACUACAGCCAGCUGUCAAAACUUUUUUCAAUAUGGCGGAAUGGCGAUUUGGCAUAUGAGACCACCAUAUCUAGAGGCAUCAUGGGCACACGUUUCGGGGUCUUCCGUACCAGUCUGAAGUUGGCGAUAGAGGAAAAGGAGAAGGAGGAAAAAGGAUAAAGCAGAACGAUGAUCAAGGAGAAAUUGAGGGAAAAUUGAGAAAGAGGAAAAGGGUGAGAUGUAUAAGUGCAUGAGCACAGCCUACCCCUUGAUGUAGUAUCAUAGGGUGAAACCAAGGGGCACAUCUGGCACACGAAGCCCAAGGUAGUUUUAGUGGGACGAACCCACUCACGGCAGCAAACACCCGGCUGUUAUAGUUUGAAGUCAAAUUUCCAUCUUGUAAAAAAAAAACCACAAGUAGAUAGCCCGGGUGUACAUUGUGCUGAGCAGCAGACCACACUGGACCAUCGGAAAAUUCGACUGGGCAUAAAGGCAAUAUGCUGCUCGUCAACAGCAGAAUAUGCUAAUUGCCACACACCAGCUUCGUUGAAAAAAAAUGCGACGAGAAAUAAAUUUUUUUAUGUAUUUUA